GACCAUCCUCCAAGGCUAAAUACUCCUGACUGACCGAUAGUGAACCAGUACCGUGAGGGAAAGGCGAAAAGAACCCCGGCGAGGGGAGUGAAAAAGAACCUGAAACCGUGUACGUACAAGCAGUGGGAGCACCCUUUGGGGUGUGACUGCGUACCUUUUGUAUAAUGGGUCAGCGACUUAUAUUCUGUAGCAAGGUUAACCGAAUAGGGGAGCCGGAGGGAAACCGAGUCUUAACCGGGCGUUAAGUUGCAGGGUAUAGACCCGAAACCCGGUGAUCUAGCCAUGGGCAGGUUGAAGGUUGGGUAACACUAACUGGAGGACCGAACCGACUAAUGUUGAAAAAUUAGCGGAUGACCUGUGGCUGGGGGUGAAAGGCCAAUCAAACCGGGAGAUAGCUGGUUCUCCCCGAAAGCUAUUUAGGUAGCGCCUCGUGAAUUCAUCUCCGGGGGUAGAGCACUGUUUCGGCUAGGGGGCCAUCCCGGCUUACCAACCCGAUGCAAACUGCGAAUACCGGAGAAUGUUAUCACGGGAGACACACGGCGGGUGCUAACGUCCGUCGUGAAGAGGGAAACAACCCAGACCGCCAGCUAAGGUCCCAAAGUCAUGGUUAAGUGGGAAACGAUGUGGGAAGGCCCAGACAGCCAGGAUGUUGGCUUAGAAGCAGCCAUCAUUUAAAGAAAGCGUAAUAGCUCACUGGUCGAGUCGGCCUGCGCG
rnacentral:rRNA from 1 species